ACCACGGGAGCCCUGGAGCCGGGCUGAGAGGGCGAGGCAUCGCCGACCGUCGCACCUGAUCCGGGUCGUACCGGCGGAGGGAGGU
rnacentral:ncRNA from 2 species